GCGGAAAGCAUUGAAGGCCUGCGGGAAAAUGACUAUCUCUUGAUCCAUUCAUGCCGACAGUGGACGACAAUAACAGCUCACAGUUUGGAAGAAGGGCAUUAUGUCAUUGGUCCAAAGAUUGAGAUUCCAGUGCAUUAUGGAGGUAAGUGUUCACACACUGACAUUACAAAUACAUUUGAAAUGCCAACUCUACAUAUAUGUGCACACCUGCGUUCAAGCGCCAACAUUAUACACAAAUAUAGCCUUGCAUUCAAAUGAGAGCACUACAUACAAA